rnacentral:lncRNA from 1 species
AAAUCGCGAGUUUAAAUUAAAAACAAAUGAAACAAGAAUGCGGGCUGAUUGAGAUGAGGCGCAAAAGGGGAAGAAUCCAGCUUGCAAAUAACCCCUCACCACGAAAACGCGCGAGUCCCAGGGGUGACAAACCGGAUCGGGUCGGGCCUUGGCUACACGGCACCGUUUUAGAGCUAUAGAGGCAUGCUCAAACGGCAGCGUUUUUGAAUCGCUAUAAAGGCUCAUUUAAGCCUGUCACCCGAACCCUAGCCUUCCCUUUCCCCCUGUAGCCGAACCGAAAUCCCUCUUUCAAGCAUCAAACCACCAUCAAGAAUGGCGCCUCAUGCUUUGGGCUUCGAUUCGUCACUCUUUGGCCUCAAAAGCCCCCCUUUUAACUUCGAUUUUGGCGAAGCAAGAAAGGAUCGACGGUGGAUUCACGAGGUAAAGUUUCUGUUUUUCCUUUUUCUUCUAUUUAGAUGCAAAGAAUGAAAAAGAAAAUCAAAGGGAGCAGAUCGAGAGAGAAAAAAACGUAAUAAACCCCAGAGAUUCAAAGCAGAAAAUCACAUUGCUCUGUUUUUUUGCUUUCUAUUGCUUCUGUAUGCGUGUAACCCUUUACAAAGACUAAAAUUCUGGCUUUAUAAUCGAAAAUGGUAGAAAUAAAUAAAUAAAAAUACAAAAUUCUUUCUUUACUUUCGCAUUGGGUAUGUGCUGCUGCUGUUUUGUCAUUUGUUUUCUUUCACAGGUACAGGUGCGUUGGCGCUCGGGUACGGGUUUGGGCUGGCGUACGGAGGCGCGUGUGCGUGGCUGCUGGAGGGUACGGAGGCCAGGGCCGAGGCUUGGCUGCGGCGCGAGAGAGAGAACCCUAGGUUUCUGUUUGUUCUAAAAUUUUUUGGGCUAUUUGGGCCGAUGUAAUUUUGGGGUUGGGUCUAGGUUUAGUUAUUGGGUCUUGGGUUUUAAUAUUAGUUUGGGCUUGUAAUAGGUAUUAGCUCGUAAGAAGACAUUAAAUGGACUGUGGGUUUUUUUCUAUUUAUUUAUUUAUUUGUUUUUUGUUUGUUUGUAACGGGUCGGACAAAUUGGCCUGUUUACAAUAUUAUUUCCUGUUCAUUAAUCCUUUUCUAUGUAAAUGUUUCGAUACAAUACAUUAAGUUUUCUACCUAUUUUAAAACAAAUAAAUGUGUUUUGAGCGAAUUUUCAAUUUUCCUUAUUAUUCAAAAAUUCUGAAAUAAGGCAAUAUCCAAUAUUUGGGAAUUCGAGAAAUCGUGCUCAAUCGUGCUGGAUAUAAUUUUUCGGUGAACUAAAUAUUUGGAUAACCUUUUAUAAUUUUAGUGUACGAGUUUUCAAAAAUCAAAAAUCAAUCGUAUUUUUAAAGGUAUAAAGGAUCGUAU